GUUCAUAUAUACACCCAUGUACGUAUACUUAUCUAUCUAUCUAUCUAUCUAUCUAUCUAUCUAUCUAUCUAUCUAUCUAUCUAUUUAUCUAUCUAUCUGUCUAUCUAUCUAUCUUUCUAUCUAUCUAUCUUUCUAUCUAUCUAUCUAUCUAUCUAUCUAUCUAUCUAUCUAUCUAUCUAUCUAUCUAUCUAUCUAUCUAUCUAUCUAUCUAUCUAUCUAUCUAUCUAUCUAUCUAUCUAUCUAUCUAUCCAUCUAUCUAUCCAUCUAAUCUUGGUAGUUAAUGCUGAAGGUGAAAAUAUUUUUAUUUGGUAUCCAUGUACUUUAAGACAUAAGCUACUUAAGAUACACACACACACACAUAUGUGUAUAUAUAAACAUACGUACAUAUUUAUAUAUAUAUAUAUAAUUUUUACAUGUAAAAUAUUGAUAGGGACUUAGAAGUUUCGUUUUACUCGUUGUCAUCACUGGUUGCUUGUAAGACGAGACUUCGAAGUUACUAUCAACUUUUUCGUUGAAAAAAUUAGCAUGUACUCUACCAGAAAAGUACUGGGCGAUAAUUCGGUUUAACGUUAGAAUAUUUUUGUACAUCGUAACUUCGCAUUAAAACAAACAUUAAUACAUACAUAUAUACCUACACACACACACACACACACACACACACACACACACACACACACACACACACACACACACACACACAGACAUAUAUAUAUGUAUAUAUAUAUUUAUGUAUGUAUGUAUGUAUGUAUAUACGCACUAUACACAUACGUGCGCGCGCACAUGAACACACCCAUAAUAUUUCAUCUUCAUUUAAUAUCCAUGUUCCAUGCUGGCAUGGGUUGAACGGUUUCAUAGGAUCAACUGGGUGUUUCAUUGAACAUUUUGUUAGGGUGUGUCUCACUGGACGCUCUUCCUAACGCCUACCCCUUUAUACUGGGUGCAUUUGUGUGUGUGUAUCUGUGUUGUGUCCCCAACGCUGGUGAGUUUGCAAGACUAUGAACCCAGGGAGCUUUUUAUGCCAGGAGAUGAGAGAUUAAGGUAUUAGAGAAGAGGCCAGAGCAGUGUAAGGUUUCUUGCGAUAGAGGGGCUACAUGGUUUCUAGCAUUUUAGAAAUGGCUGUGAGACGUGCCCAAUAUGGAGCAGGGUAGAGAUAAAAAUAAGGAUGACGAGGUGGCUGUGUGGAUCCCAAAGGUUUCAUAUGAGUAGUAAGGGGUCAAAGAACCAAGAGUGUGAGUGGGUAAAAGCGGCACUGGAUUAACCAUUAAACAAAAUAAGCGAAUGUUUAGGUGCCAAGGGAAGUGGAGGCACCACAGAAAUGAUAAAUGGUUAAUGGUAUAAAAGAAUUUAGGCGGCAAGCUGGCAGAAACGUUAGCACGCUGGGUGAAAUGCUUAGCGGUAUUUCGUCUGCCGCUACAUUCUGAGUCCAAAUUCCACCAAGGUCCACUUUGCCUUUCAUCCUUUCCGGGUUGAUAAAAUAAGUACCAGUUACGCACUGGGGUCAAUGUAAUCCACUUAAUCCCUUUGUCUGUCCUUGUUUGUCCACUCUAUGUUUAGCCCCUUGUGAGUAGUAAAGAAAUUGGUAUUUCGUCUGCCACUACGUUCUGAGUUCAAAUUCCACCGAGGUCCACUUUGCCUUUCAUCCUUUCGGGGGCAAUAAAUUAAGUACCAGUUACGCAUUGGGGUCGAUGUAAUCGACUUAAUCCCUUUGUCCUUGUUUGUCCACUCUACGUUUAGCUCCUUGUGGGUAGUAAAGAAAUAGGUAUUUCGUCUGCCGCUACGUUCUGAGUUCAAAUUCUGCCGAGGUCCACUUUGCCUUUCAUCCUUUCGGGGUCGAUAAAUUAAAUACCAGUUACGCACUGGGGUCGAUAUAAUCGACUUAAUCCAUUUGUUUGUCCACUCUAUGUUUAGCCCCUUGUGGGUAGUAAAGAAAUAGGUAUUUCGUCUGCCGCUACGUUCUGAGUCCAAAUUCUGCCGAGGUCCACUUUGCCUUUCAUCCUUUCGGGGUCGAUAAAUUAAGUACCAGUUACGCACAGGGGUCGAUGUAAUCGACUUAAUCCCUUUGUCCUUGUUUGUCCACUCUACGUUUAGCUCCUUGUGGGUAGUAAAGAAAUAGGUAUUUCGUCUGCCGCUACGUUCUGAGUUCAAAUUCCACCGAGGUCCACUUUGCCUUUCAUCCUUUCGGGGGCAAUAAAUUAAGUACCAGUUACGCAUUGGGGUCGAUGUAAUCGACUUAAUCCCUUUGUCCUUGUUUGUCCACUCUAUGUUUAUCCCCCUUGUGGGUAGUAAAGAAAUAGGUAUAAAAGAAAUUAGUUUAAACUUGUAUUUCAGAAUGGUCUUGUUUUUUUCUUGCCAAAUAAACACAUGCACUACAUAUAUUUGUUCUUCAAUUGCUUAUUAUUGUUCUUAUUCUAUGUCCAUUUCCUGGAAAUCUUUCGUCACACGUCCUGUGACCUCUUCAGUGACUCUCCAUCCCAUGUGUCUCCCACCCCCAUUCUAUUUAGUCCAUUCUGUCUUUCUAUAGUGACCAUAGAACAGGAGGAGACACAUGGGAUAGAGAGUCAUUGAAGUGGUCACAGGUGUGUGACAAAAGAUUUCCAGACAACACACAUAAAAUAAGAACAAUAACAGACAAGUGAAGAACAAAUAUAUAAUGUGUGUGUUUAUUUGGAAAAGAAGAAAAAAAUUACAAUUCCAAAACAUAAAAAUAUCUGUUUCAACACACAAUUUCACAUUAUUUAAAUUAUUUACCCCCUACCUGGGACGUAGUCAGUCCACCUGUGCAUACCUUCCUUCUUGGGACACAUAACUCUACUUGUGAAGACCUGUUGAGGCAAGUGAAAAUCAAAAUCAAAAAUCAAAAAUCAAAAAUCAAAAAUCAAAGAAUCAAAUCGAUAUCGAUGAACAUCAAUGGAAUUUGUAGUUUUGUGGUACCAGUGCCGGUGGCACAUAAGAAAACCUUCCGAACGUGGCCGUAGCCAGUACCGCAUCGACUGGCCUCCGUGCUGGUGGCACGUAACAAACACCAUCCAAUCGUGGCCAUGCCAGCCUCGCUUGGCCUCCAUGCCGGUGGCACGUAAAAAACACCAUCCGACCGUGGCCGUUCGCCAGCCUCGUCUGGCACCUGUGUCGGUGGCACAUAAAAAGCACCCACUACACUCACGGAGUGGUUGGCGUUAGGAAGGACAUCCAGCUGUAGAAACACUGCCAGAUCUGACUGGAGCUUGGUGCAGCCUUCGGGCUUCCCAGACCCCAUUUGAACCGUCCAACCCAUGCUAGCAUGGAGAACGGACGCUAAACGAUGAUGAUGAUCAUGAUGAUGACAGAUAUUUGUCCUCAUCUUGUUCAAGAAAAGAUCUUAUCUUUAUUUAUAUAAAUAUAUAUAUAUAUGAUGAUUGCUUCAUCUUGAGAGAUGAUAGCCGUCCCAUCAACACACACGCCACACCCCAUCACACAGUACAAUCACUCCAUUGAUGACCCUUCGGAUGCCUUUUAAGACCAGCUGCUGACUGACAGGGUUUAAAAGCCAAAUGACAGAUAUUAUUCAAGGUUCUUCUAUAUCUUUGUCUUUUAGAAUCUGAUUCUGAAAGAAUAUUUUUGUGAACUAGCAUAUGGUUUUUAAGUCCAGAUAUUGUCUUACAAGUUUUUUGACAUAUGACACAAGUCAUAGGAGGCAGUUGGUGUCCAAGCUCAUGACCUAGACCUGCUGGAGGGAAGAAGACCUGCUCGAAGGAAGAAGACCUGUGCAAGGGAAGAAGACCUGCUCGAAGGAAGGAGACCUGCUCGAAAGAAGGAGACCUGCUCGAGGGAAGGAGACCUGCUCAAGGGAAGGAGACCUGCUUGAGGGAAGGAGACCUGCUCAAGGGAAGAAGACCUGCUCGAAGGAAGGAGACCUGCUCGAAGGAAGGAGACCUGCUCGAGGGAAGGAGACCUGCUCAAGGGAAGGAGACCUGCUUGAGGGAAGGAGACCUGCUCGAGGGAAGGAGACCUGCUCAAAGGAAGAAGACCUGCUCGAAGGAAGGAGACCUGCUCGAGGGAUGAAAACCUGCUCGAGGAAGGAGACCUGCUUGAGGGAAGGAGACCUGCUCGAGGGAAGGAGACCUGCUCGAGGGAUGAAAACCUGCUCGAGGGAAGAAUACCUGCUCGAGGGAAGGAGACCUGCUCGAGGGAAGGAGACCUGCUCGAGGGAAGGAGACCUGCUCGAGGGAAGGAGACCUGCUCGAGGGAAGGAGACCUGCUCGAGGGAAGGAGACCUGCUCGAGGGAAGGAGACCUGCUCGAGGGAAGGAGACCUGCUCGAAGGAAGGAGACCUGCUCGAGAGAAGGAGACCUGCUCGAAGGAAGGAGACCUGCUCGAGGGAAGAAGACCUGCUCGAGGGAUGAAGACCAGCUCGAGGGAAGAAUACCUGCUCGAGGGAAGGAGACCUGCUUGAGGGAAGGAGACCUGCUCGAGGGAUGAAAACCUGCUCGAGGGAAGGAGACCUGCUCGAUGGAAGGAGACCUGCUCGAAGGAAGAAGACCUGCUUGAUGGAAGGAGACCUGCUCGAAGGAAGAAGACCUGCUCGAGAAGAAGACUCAUCAAGCCAAGUAAAAUUGUAGUCACGGCAGAUACUGGUAUCUGCAAAUGGUACCCAUGCUGGUGGCAUGUAAAAGUACCCAUUACAUCCUCAGAGUGACUGGCUUUUGGAAGGGCAUCCAGCCGUAGAAACCAUGCCAAAUCAGACUGGAGUCUGGUGCAGUCCCUCAGCUUACCAGCUCUGGUCAGACUGUCCACCCAUGCCAGCAUGGACAACAGACAUUAAAUGAUGAUGAUGAUGAUGAUGAUGAUGAAGGACAUCUUGAAGAAUGAAAUGUCGGUACUAAUGGCUGUAGUUGAAUCAAUAAAGAAUGGCACGUAAAAAGCACCCACUACACUCUCGGAGUGGUUGGCGUUAGGAAGGGCAUCCAGCUGUAGAAACACAGCCAGAUCAGACUGAGCCUGGUGCAGCCUUCUGGCUUCCCAGACCCCAGUUGAACUGUCCAAUCCAUGCUAGCAUGGAAAACGGACGUUAAACGAUGAUGAUGAUGAUGUUGGAUUGUCAGGAACUGAUAGAAGGGGUUUCAUGUCACAUAAGCAUCGAAAUCAUAAACAUAUGUAUUGGUGGGUGUGUGGGUGAGGUCAUGCAAGAGUGGGGAGAAACAACAGGGGUUUCUAAGAAAUAUGAGGACAAAAAGGCGGCAAGCUGGCAGAAAUGUUAGCACGCUGGGCGAAAUGCUUAGCGGUAUUUCGUCUGUCGUUACCUUCUGAGUUCAAAUUACGCCGAGGUCGACUUUGCUUUUCAUCCUUUCAGGGUCGAUAAAUUAAGUACCAGUUACGCACUGGGGUCGAUGUAAUCGACUUAAUCCCUUUGCCUGUCCUUGUUUGUCCCCUCUGUAUUUAGCACCUUGUGGGCAAUAAAGAAAUAUGAGGACAUUUGCUUUCUCACAGUUCUGUGUGACUGAGAAAUUGAGAAAGUCUCAACCGAUGAAAUACAAGGUAAGUGAGAUCCCUUUAUGCAUCAUCAUCAUCAUCAUCUUCCUCAUCAUUAUCGUGAUUUAAUGUCUGUUUUUCCAUGCUGGCAUGGGUUGGACGGUUUAACAGGAACUGGCACAUAUGAAGGCUCUGCUAACUUCCCUUGUCUGUUUUGGCACGGUUUCCAUGAUUGGAUGCCCUUCCUAAUAGCAACCAGUUUUACAGUGUAUUUGGGUGCAUUUUUUGUGAUUCCAGCACUAGUGAGGUCAGAAAGUUCUUGCAAGACAAGACCCCACUCAACCGAAAGGGGUAUUCUAUUGAAGGACACGAAACUAUGAUAAUACAAAACAUGGCUCAUGAAACUCCUGUUUGGAUGACUUCCCUGAGUUGCCAUCUCACCAUUGUACACCAAUCCAUCACAUGGCUACCCAUGUACAGCUGAGGGGUUCGGACCAAUAUGGAAUGAAGUGUUUUAGUCAAGAACAUAGUGCAUAACCAGUCUGGGAAUUGAAACCACAACCUUGUGAUUGUGACUGCAACACCCCAACCACUAAGUCCCUCUCUUUCACACAUUAUUGAAUGGCUGUUGACUCUCUUCAGUUCCUCGGCCCUUUGAUGGAUUUUGCUUUUUGUUUCACAGGAUGUCUAAUGAAUUUGGCUUUGGUAUAAAUGGAUGGAAGCACUCCAUCGGUUACGACGAUGAGGGUUCCGGUUGAUCCGAAUCAACGGAACAGCCUGCUCGUGAAAUUAACGUGUAAGUGGCUGAGCACUCCACAGACACGUGUACCCUUAACGUAGUUCUCGGGGAUAUUCAGCGUGACACAGAGAGUGACAAGGCCGGCCCUUUGAAAUACAGGUACAACAGAAACAGGAAGUAAGAGUGAGAGAAAGUUGUGGUGAAAGGGUACAGCAGGGAUCACCACCAUCCCCUGCCGGAGCCUCGUGGAGCUUUUAGGUGUUUUCGCUCAAUAAACACCCACAACGCCCGGUCUGGGAAUCGAAACCGCGAUCCUAUGACUGCGAGUCCGCUGCCCUAAUAGGAUGAAAGUAAAGAAUAUGUACACCCGAUGGUUAGGGUUAGGGCUUUUUGUUACGCUGAAAACGGUUGGUGUACGUAUUCUUUACCUCUGAUGAUAAUUGAAUGUGGACAAACAUAUAAUUUAUUCUGUUGUGUCUGGGGAGAGUCAUUCUCUUUUAGUGCCUUAUUAUUUAACACACUCACCGCUAAAAUUUCCACUUAUUUCUUAUUUUUAUUUUCUAUAAAAUAUGUUCACCAUGAAUAUAUAUAUUUCAUUCCUUUCAUGAAUAUAUAUAUAUAUAUACUGUUGUAUCUGGGGAGGGUCAUUCUCUUUUAGUGCCUUAUUAUUUAACACACUCACUGGUAAAAUUUCCACUUAUUUAGUCUUCAAUAGUCUUCAACACUAUUGAAAAGGUUGCAAGAUGCAGCAAAAAUUUUAGUAAAUAAAAAUAAGGAAUAAGUGGAAAUUUUAGCGGUGAGUGUGUUAAAUAAUAAGGCACUAAAAGAGAAUGACUCUCCCCAGACACAACAGAAUAUGCUUCAACACACGAACUCAUAUAAAGAAUCUUGCAAACCAAAUCCAAAAACGAAAAAUAAUUUAUUGUUUCAAUGAAAUUUUGCGGGGAUACGACUUCACAGCCAAACAGCAGAUAGAUGAUACAAAGAAAACAACGAUGGGUCAUUCGAAGUUAUCUUUCCUCAGUCAAGUACCAGACUAUCUUCGCAAUUUCAGCUGAUUAUACUUGAAAUUGCUCAAAUCUGGCCAGCCCCAGGGAAAAACUAAGCUAAGAGCAGUAGAUUCCUUGGAAGAAAGCGGCGAAUGUAUACAAAAACAAGGACAGAAAAAAAACGAAUGUUACACGAAUACAAUAAAAAUAAUAACAGGACAUAACAACAGGUGUCUUUCGACUUAGGAUGAAUUAAAUUAAGCUGGCAUGUGUGGAAAUCAAGCCUUACAGCAGGGAUACAUGAUUUCACAAACACAGGGAGGAAUAUUGAUGUUGCACGGUAUAUAUACAGUGCCAGCCUCGCCUGGCCUCCGUGCCGGUGGCACAUAAAAAAGCACCAUCCGAUCGUGGCCGUUUGCCAGCUUCAUCUGGCACCUGUGCUGGUGGCACGUAAAAAGCACCCACUACACUCGCAGAGUGGUUGGCGUUAGGAGGGGCAUCCAGCCGUAGAAACAUUGCCAGAUCAGACUGGGCCUGGUGCAGCCUUCUGGCUUCCUAGACCCCCAGUUGCACCGUCCAACCCAUGCCAGCAUGGAAAGCGGACGCCAAACGAUGAUGAUGAUGAUGAUGAUGAUGAUGAUGUAAUAAGUGAAAAUAAUUAAAGACACUGGUGCAGUGCAUACGUUGUUAUUGUUGUUGUUGUUGUUGCUGCUGGUGGUGCUGCUGUUGCUGUUGUUGUUGUUAUUGUUAUUAUUAUUAUUUCCAAAGAUGAAUUAUCCAGACCUCAAAGAAUCCCUCUCAACACAUGGCUAUGAUGUUCCCCCUCUACUUCUGCUCGUGAUCAGAGAUGCAAAUGUCGUCAGCCACCAAGGGACAUGAUCAACUGGUUAAGGUCAAACAACUGACAUGCAAAUCUGUGGUAUUGAGCAGAAUAUUUGCUGUAGGCCAUCUUUUAUACCAUACAUGAGCAACCUGU
rnacentral:lncRNA from 1 species